rnacentral:rRNA from 1 species
AACGAACGCUGGCGGCGCGUCUUAAGCAUGCAAGUCGAACGGCAUGAGGAAGCUUGCUUCCUCAGAGAGUGGCGGACUGGUGAGUAACACGUGGGUGACCUACCCUUGAGAUGGGGAUAGCCAUUAGAAAUAGUGGAUAAUACCGAAUACGCUCUACGGACUCUGGUUUGUAGAGGAAACAGGCUACGGCCUGGCUCGAGGAUGGGCCCGCGUCCCAUUAGCUAGUUGGUGAGGUAAGAGCCCACCAAGGCGACGAUGGGUAUCCGGCCUGAGAGGGUGUACGGACACAUUGGGACUGAGAUACGGCCCAAACUCCUACGGGAGGCAGCAGCUAAGAAUAUUCCGCAAUGGACGAAAGUCUGACGGAGCGACGCCGCGUGGAUGACGAAGGCCGAAAGGUUGUAAAUCCUUUUGCUGAUGAAGAAUAAGCGUGGUAGGGAAUGACCGCGUGAUGACAUUAGUCGGUGAAUAAGCCCCGGCUAACUACGUGCCAGCACG